CUCUCCCUCUUUCUUCCUGCCUAACACAUGCAAGUCGAACGAACCUUUCGGGGUUAGUGGCGGACGGGUGAGUAACACGUGGGAACGUGCCUUUAGGUUCGGAAUAACUCAGGGAAACUUGUGCUAAUACCGAAUGUGCCCUUCGGGGGAAAGAUUUAUCGCCUUUAGAGCGGCCCGCGUCUGAUUAGCUAGUUGGUUGAGGUAAUGGCUCACCAAGGCGACGAUCAGUAGCUGGUCUGAGAGGAUGAUCAGCCACAUUGGACUGAGACACGGCCCAAACUCCUACGGGAGGCAGCAGUGGGGAAUCUUGCGCAAUGGGCGAAAGCCUGACGCAGCCAUGCCGCGUGAAUGAUGAAGGUCUUAGGAUUGUAAAAUUCUUUCACCGGGGACGAUAAUGACGGUACCCGGAGAAGAAGCCCCGGCUAACUUCGUG
rnacentral:rRNA from 1 species